ACAACUUUCAACAACGGAUCUCUUGGCUCUUGCAUCGAUGAAGAACGCAGUGAAAUGCGAUAAGUAAUGUGAAUUGCAGAAUUCAGUGAAUCAUCGAAUCUUUGAACGCAUCUUGCGCUCCUUGGUAUUCUGAGGAGCAUGCCUGUUUGAGUGUCAUUAA
rnacentral:rRNA from 1 species